rfam:Gorilla gorilla gorilla genomic chromosome, chr4, whole genome shotgun sequence
GCUGGGCAUGGUAGUGCACGCCUGUAAGUAAUCUCAGCUAGUCAGGAGGCUGAGGGAGGAGAAUCGCUUGAACCUGGGAGGAAGAGGUUGCAGUGAGCUGAGAUCAUGCCACUGCACUCCAGCCUGGNNNNNNNNNNCCAGGCUGGAGUGCAGUGGCAUGAUCUCAGCUCACUGCAACCUCUUCCUCCCAGGUUCAAGCGAUUCUCCUCCCUC